AGAGUUUGAUCAUGGCUCAGGAUGAACGCUAGCAGCAUACUUUAUACAUGCUAGUCGAAUGUUUUAAUAGACAUGGCGUACAGGUGAGUAAUACACAAGAAUUUGCCUUAAAGUCUCGGGAUAAUCAUAUUUAAAUUUUAUAUUUAAAGAAUGUUAUGCAGUGAAAAUACCGGAUAUUAGUAAAGGUACUAAUACCGCUUUAAGAUAAGCUUGUGCAGGAUUAGGUUGUUGGUAGAGUAAAAGCCUACCAAGCCGAUGAUCCUUAGCUGGUCUGAGAGGAUGGUCAGCCACACUGGGACUGAGAUAAGGCCCAGGCUUAUAAGCCAGCAGUAGGGAAUCUUGGACAAUGGGCGAAAGCCUGACCCAGUAAUGCUGCGUGAACGAAGAAAGCACAAAAGAUUUCUAGCAUUUAUUUGUUUUAAAUUGGCUGUAAAGUUCUUUCACUGAUGAAGAUAAUGACGUUAAUCAGAGAAGAAGUCCCGGCUAACUUCGUGCCAGCAGCCGCGGUAAUACGAAGGGGGCAAGCGUUAUCCGGAAUUAUUGGGCGUAAAGUGUUCGUAGACGGUAUUUGUUGUUUUAUGUAAAAUACUAGGCUAAUUGCUUA
rnacentral:rRNA from 1 species